AAGGCACCGGGUUUUGAUCUCGGCAUCCGUUGGUUCGAAUCCAGCCGCCCCUGCCA
rnacentral:tRNA from 1 species